AUUGAACGCUGGCGGCAUGCCUAACACAUGCAAGUCGAACGAGGGUAGCAAUACUCUAGUGGCGGACGGGUGAGGAACACAUAGGAAUUUGCCCUUAAGUGGGGGAUAACCCGGGGAAACCCGGAUUAAUACCGCAUGAUCUCGAGAGAGCAAAGCAGGGGACCGCAAGGCCUUGCGCUUUUGGAGAAGCCUAUGUCGGAUUAGCUUGUUGGUGAGGUAAUGGCUCACCAAGGCCGCGAUCCGUAACUGG
rnacentral:rRNA from 1 species